AUAUGCCUACGGGGCGCAGCAGUGAGGAAUAUUGGUCAAUGGGCGUGAGCCUGAACCAGCCAAGUCGCGUGAGGGAGGACGGCCCUACGGGUUGUAAGCCUCUUUUGCCGGGGAGCAACGGGCGUCACGUGUGGCGCCACUGAGAGUACCUGGAGAAAAAGCAUCGGCUAACUCCGUGCCAGCAGCCGCGGUAAUACGGAGGAUGCGAGCGUUAUCCGGAUUUAUUGGGUUUAAAGGGUGCGUAGGCGGAUCGUUAAGUCAGUGGUCAAAUUGCGGGGCUCAACCCCUUCCCGCCAUUGAAACUG
rnacentral:rRNA from 1 species